UCCGCCUCCGAUCCUCUCUCUCCCGCCGCUGCCUAUGCCACGGUCAUCGCGGCUUGCUCCAUCCAGGAAUCCCUGCAUCUGCCCACAUUUCUUGUACCCUGUGCCCUCCUCCCCUCUGCCUCCCAGCCCAGCAGCAAGUCAGCGAGCGAACGACACGAUGCGAGCGAGUGAACACGCGGCGGUCGGGCGAGCAGGCAGUGUGCGGGCACGUUGGCGAGCGGGCGGAGCGUAGGCGACGCACGAGAGCGCGCCGUGGGGCGUGGGGGCCUGCGCCUUGUAAGCGAAACGUCCGGCAAGCGGCAAUCAAACCAAAACAUUGCUCCAAGGACCUAGGCAUAUGUGCCAAGUGCUGCACUUGUGUUAACAAGCUUGUUGGAGGGUGUGAUUCCUGCGGAUGCGAAUGAAGAGGACGAUGAGCGCAAGUCAUUAGGAGAGGUCAGAGGGGUGUUAGGGAGAGGCAAAGACGUACACGUCUUCAAAUUGUAAGUACUGUUGUUCAAAUUUUCACAGCGAACAAACUUUCGUUCUUAUGCACUUGCCUCUAUUAUUAGUAGUCUCCGUGAUGCAGAAACCGAAUUAGCAUAAGACUUUGGAGCCAUGGAUCUAAAAAUGGAUUUGCUUUCAUUAACUUGGAUACUGAAGGAGCACAACGCUGAUGGUUACGACCUGCUGAGAUAUGAUGUUUAUAACUAUUGAAGAUGAUAAAAUAUUAAGUAUUUCGAGAUAUGAAAACAUAGAAGAUUAAAUUACCAAUUGCUAUUAACGAAAUACUUGUUUUAUGAUUUUCUUAAUACUAUCUUAUUACUCUAUUUUAUGUCUUUAGUAUAUGAUUUCUUUUUAGAUCCUAUCUUUAGAAUUGGAGCUACAAUAGAUGAAGAAUGAAGAUAGGGACAAUUCCGUGUAUGCCAUCCAAAAAUAUACUUAUUCCUUGUGUGCCACUGGUCCCACAUGUCAUACACUUAAAAAAACAUAUAUGUCACUCAGUGACACACAAGGAAUGAGUAUAAAAUCUGAUGACAUAUAGAGAAUUUUUCCAUGAAGAUACUACUCAGUCAUCUAUAUGUUCUCUAUUUUUAGUCUGUCUUUAUGCUCUAUUUUAUUUUAUUUGACACACUUGUACUCUUAUCCUAUUAAAAUCGGCAUGGGGCUUUAUUAAAUCAUGGAUCCACCACUAUGUUAGGUUAUUUGACACACUUGUGCUCUACCCUUGGUAUGGAGCAUGGUUUCCCCUAUUUCGCUGUGCACCGCAGUCGAUUUCGUUAGUCAUGCAUGCGAGAUGUGAUUGCACUCUCACUUCUCCCUGACGGGUGUGCUAGAUGCAAUGUCUGGUAAUAUAUUUGCUUCUGGCAGGACAAAGAAGUUCGCUCGUUAGCGAUGAUCAGCGAUAAAGCGUAAGGCGAGGCGACACCUUAAAUAUAUUUACAAAUAAGAAAAAUAUUAAUAUUUGAGAAAGUAUUUAGCAUAAUAAUAAUAAUAAUAAAGAGAAAAGGAUAAAGAUAAGAAAAGACUAACCCAAUCAGCCUAAAUCAGCCCAACUAGACCAUUAGGUCAAACCCAUUUCUUCACUCUCCCCCUCUCCCUCUAUCUCUCAGUACCAGUCCACUCCCU